rnacentral:rRNA from 1 species
AUACGUAGGGGGCGAGCGUUGUCCGGAAUGAUUGGGCGUAAAGGGCGCGUAGGCGGCCCGGUAAGUCUGGAGUGAAAGUCCUGUUUUUAAGAUGGGAAUUGCUUUGGAUACUGUCGGGCUUGAGUGCAGGAGAGGUAAGUGGAAUUCCCAGUGUAGCGGUGAAAUGCGUAGAGAUUGGGAGGAACACCGGUGGCGAAGGCGACUUACUGGACUGUAACUGAAGCUGAGGCGCGAAAGUGUGGGGAGCAAACAGGAUUAGAUAACCUGGUAGUCCACACUGUAAACGAUGAAUGCUAGGUGUAGGGGGUAUCGACCCCUUCUGUGCCGCAGUCAACACAAUAAGCAUUCCGCCUGGGGAGUACGGCCGCAAGGUUGAAACUCAAAUGAAUUGACGGGG